rnacentral:rRNA from 1 species
CAGUCGCCACGGGAAUACGGAGGGUGCAAGCGUUAAUCGGAAUUACUGGGCGUAAAGCGCACGCAGGCGGUCUGUCAAGUCGGAUGUGAAAUCCCCGGGCUCAACCUGGGAACUGCAUUCGAAACUGGCAGGCUAGAGUCUUGUAGAGGGGGGUAGAAUUCCAGGUGUAGCGGUGAAAUGCGUAGAGAUCUGGAGGAAUACCGGUGGCGAAGGCGGCCCCCUGGACAAAGACUGACGCUCAGGUGCGAAAGCGUGGGGAGCAAACAGGAUUAGAUACCCCGGUAGUCCCUGUCUCUUAUAA